rnacentral:rRNA from 1 species
UACAGAGGGUGCGAGCGUUGUCCGGAAUCACUGGGCGUAAAGGGCGCGUAGGUGGCGGCCCAAGUCCAUGGUGAAAGCUCGAUGCUCAACAUCGAGUCGGCCACGGAUACUGGGUUGCUCGAGCACUGUAGGGGCAGAUGGAAUUCCGGGUGUAGCGGUGGAAUGCGUAGAGAUCCGGAAGAACACCGGUGGCGAAGGCGGUCUGCUGGGCAGUUGCUGACACUGAGGAGCGAAAGCAUGGGGAGCGAACAGG